CGAACUAUAGCUAUUCGCAACUUUGAGGGAAACGUCGACACCAAAAUGGCACGUUUAUUAAUUGCAAUGAGACAACUCCGAUGUAUUUCACUCGACAAAUGCGUUCUCCAUUGGCGUGCCCUAAUACAACUUUGCAAGAAUUUGCCAGACCUUGAAGAGCUGCAGUUUGCUCAAUUUGACAGCACAGUUAAAAAAAUGCGGUUGACGAAAUUUAAAAGUGAAUUCAAAAAGGACCUGAUUCACUUGUCUCAGCUGAAGAAACUGAAAUUUGGAAAAAUGUUCAUCAGCACAAGACGCUUUCUAGCUCCUUAUCUGCCGCACCUGGACCUGGACGUCAGAGGACCGAUAGGCAGAGCAAUCUACGACACAUCUGUAACCUCGGACAGACGCACUUUUUACUGCAUGCCAAUUUCUGGUCGAAUCAUUCCAUCAUUUCCACCAUGGCCUAAUGAAAAUUAUCCUCCGAACAUAACACAUCUCAGGAUUACAUGCCGUGAUUUUAGUGCUGGAAACUCCAGCAAUUACCCGGACUUUGCCAAUCUAGAAGUUUUGACUUUAGAUGAUCUGAGAUGUGCUGAAGCUGUUGACGAUAUUUUGCUGAAGUAUGGCGGGAAAUUACGAUCGCUUCGACUGUCCAUUCCGCAUUACUUGCCAGUAUAUGUGCGUUUUAAAUUUGGUCGCAUCUUCGAGCUUUGCCCUCGGCUAGAAGAGCUUGAUGUAGACAAUGUAAUCAUGUUAGACGAUUCUGAGCCAAUGAACAACUUCUCUGAGCUCAAGCAGCUCACGUGGACUGGUAGAUACAGCAAAGACUUGAGCAACAUUUUGCUGGCUCCAAACCUUCAAGUGGUGAAGAUCAGUACUAAUUUACGUGAAUGUUACCUGAAUUUGUACCAGACCCUGCUCAACUGUGCACCUCCGACCCUAAAUAAUUUACACACGUUUCAUAUUAACUUGCAAUUCAUCCCGGCGAGAGCCAAUUUCUACGGUAUCUGUGAUUGUUUUAAAAUGAUAUCCGCU